rnacentral:rRNA from 1 species
GACGAACGCUGGCGGCGUGCUUAACACAUGCAAGUCGAACGGAAAGGCCCUGCUUUUGUGGGGUUCCCGAGUGGGGAACGGGUGUGAAACAUGUGAGUAACCCUCCUUGUACUGGGUAAUAACUUGAGAAAACUGCGACUACUACCUACGUGGUGCUCGUGCUGGUGGGGGGGGUUCGGAAAUUUCAGGCGGUGGGGAAUGUACGUGCGGCUAACUAGCUGGUGGGGGGGGGAGUGGCUUACCAAGGCUUUGGCGGAUGGCCGGCCUGAGAGGGUGGACGGGCACAUGGGGACUGAGAUACGGCGCAGACUCCUACGGGAGGCAGCAGUGGGGAACAUUGCACAAUCAGCGGAAGCCUGAGGAAGAGACGCCGCGUGCGGGAUGAAGGCCUUCGGGUUGUAAACCGCUGUAGCCUGUGACGAAGCUUGAGUGACGGUAAUGGGUGAAGAAGCACCGGCUAACUACGUG